GUGAAGAGAGUGCUUGCUUCCCCUUCUGCCAUGAUUAUAAGUUUCCCGAGGCCUUCCCAGCUUGCAGAACUGAAAAGAAGAGGAGGGCUCCUCUGAGACCUAAUUGGAUGCAUUUCCCAGCUUAGCCCAAGUGUGGGCUGCUCAUGGGGUGUUGUGAGGGUGUGGGGAGGGUUUGAAGGGCAAAUGUGUCAGUGCGCUUCCGGGACCCCUCUCCAAGCCAGGCACCCAAAGGCAGGACCGGGGACUCAGUCUACUCAUGAGGACGAAGCUCAGCUUGGAAACCCAGUAACAUCAUGCAGCCGCCCAGCAACAUAUUUGAACAAGAGUUUUGCAAUCAUCACACGUAAAAUCUUUCUGUUGGAAAAAGGCACACAUAUACCUUAGUAGAAUAUAUUUGUUAAUUGCUAUUUGUUAGCUUCAUCUUUUCUUCAAAAUGGAGGAGAAAUUAUUACUUUGAUAAUGGGUAGAGGGGUUUCAGGCUUAAAAAGAGGAACUUUCCAAGGGUAUUAAGAAUAAACACAGCGGCCGGGCGUGGUGACUCAGGCCUGUCAUCCCAGCACGUCGGGAGGCCGAGGUGGGCAGAACACGAGGUCAGGAGAUCAAGACCAUCCUGGCUAACACGGUGAAACCCCGUCUCUACUAAAAAUACAAAAAAUUAGCUGGGCGUGGU